UAAGGGUUAAUAUAUUACAUUAUUUAUUAUUAUUAUUAUUAUGAUUAUUAUUAAAGUAUAUGACUGAGUGAUAUUGGAUUAUUUAAAUGUAGUUGAGAACUGAUUUUUGGAAAGUUGAUAAAAGAUUUGGAAAAUGGAUUUGUGGAAUAAGGGAAAGUUUAUGAUAAGUUUCGGAAUAUAGUUUUCAAAACCACCACAAG
rnacentral:lncRNA from 1 species